GUCCCGCAACGAGCGCAACCCCUAUUGUUAGUUGCCAUCAUUCAGUUGGGCACUCUAGCGAGACUGCCGGUAAUAACCGGAGAAGGUGGGGAUGACGUCAAAUCAUCAUGCCCCUUAUGACCUGGGCUACACACGUGCUACAAUGGUUGGUACAACGAGUUGCGAGUCGGUGACGGCGAGCUAAUCUCUUAAAGCCAAUCUCAGUUCGGAUUGUAGGCUGCAACUCGCCUACAUGAAGUCGGAAUCGCUAGUAAUCGCGGAUCAGCACGCCGCGGUGAAUACGUUCCCGGGCCUU
rnacentral:rRNA from 1 species